CACAUCAAAAUAAUUUUACAAAUGCACAUCAGGAAACUUCUACAGAAAAAGGACCCAACAAGUGCACAAUCGCACAUAAAGAGAGUUCGACAAAGAUUCAAUAAGAAGCACAAGUUUCUUCUCAUCCUCUUCCUGUGCACAAUAUGCCAUUCUUGUCAUUGACACCUGCAAGAAGAAAAUGAUUAUUUGCCAUUGACGCAUGCAAGAAGGCGCGAUUCAUGACCACCACAUAACCAACGUAUAUCUUGUCAGUUUGACCCACACGGAAAAAAUAGAGUGAUGCAUUUCAAUUUAGGAAAAAAUAUAUACCUCUUCAACGUUCUCUUCAAUAUUCUCUUUUGCAUUUCAAUUUUAUAUUCAGCAAGUUUGCAUAGGCAGGCUUAUUGAUAGCAUGCUUAUUGAUAGCAUGAUAAUUACCAACCACGCAGACAAACGAAAAUACAGACAAAAAGAACAGCAGCAUCACGCAAGGACGGACUGUAGCAGCCUAACCAGACAUACACAUGGCACAAUGGACAUGAACGCAGAGCAACCACCAUAGUCGUGGUUCCGUGAAAACGACAAGCUCAGACCAACCACAAGACGCAGGGAUAAGAUUAAGGGAAG
rnacentral:lncRNA from 1 species